UGUAAUUAUGUGAAUGGUAAGUCUUAACUUUUAAGUGUUCUGUGAGAUAGGCUGGAGGGCUUUUGAAAAAAAAAAAGGAAUUUCCGGUUUAACAAUUAGGAAUUUCUGAGUACCAAUGAAAGGAGACUUUUCCCUCGAGAGAACAUUCAUUGAUAGGGUGUGACAGCAGCUGGGAGAUGCCAGUGGUGGGGCAGGGAGAGCUGGAGAAUGCGGAAUCCUUUCAGUGGUGGCAUCAGGAAAGGAGGCAGGAAUUGGGGGUGGGGGUACCUAAGCUUUCCUGUCUCCGUGAGCUGUCUCAGGGGACUCAGUGGUCCAUGCUCUCUUCCUCCUUCCUAUUCAGCAUGUUCUUAGGGAGAAGGUGGGGGGAGGGGGAGGGAGAAGAGGUCUUAAAGACUUUGGCCAACUGGAGAAGGACAGUCUGGGGUACAUGUAAGUUUGUCUUGAUUAUAUUCCCAUAUUUUGGAAGAGGAACAUCAAUUUCAGUUCAGGCCUGUUUUAGAAAAUCAAAGCUUUUACAAACUUCCUAAUUGUCUUUUUUUUUUUUGGUGCAAACAUUUAUCCUAGACAACUUGUUGAAAAACUUACAACACGGUUUCCAUUCUCUGAUGUUUUUUGAGAAAAUAUUCAGCUACGUUUACUGCUAUCAAAACAGAAAAGCCAACGUCAGAUUUGGAAACCUAUCUUUAAUCGUUAAUGGAAAACGCAGUUUACUUGGCUAAAUCUUGCCAAUCCAGGCCGAUGGCUCCUCAACCUCUUUUGCUAGAAAGCUUCAAGACAUAUCUGUGAUGCUGAAUAUCUUCUGAGAAAAGUUACUAAAGUUAAAGUAAAUGUCUUGAUGUGGAAAUAAAGGGAAGUCCUGGAAGGGUAAGUAAAUUUACAUGGGGCUCCACUAAAGUUUUUUUCUCCAGUAUCACAUCCUCUCUUUUCUACCUUAUAUGUUUGUUCCUGAUUGAGUUAUGGAAAGUGACAAAAGUCAGGCUUAAAAUUUAAGAUUUGCAGGUGAGAUUUAAAUGAUUAACAAAAAAUCAUACAAGAUUAUAAUUUCUUCAGUUCUCCUCUGAGAACUGAAGAGAACAGAUUUGACCAAACAAUGGAAAAAGAAUCCACCUUGAAGACUGUAGAGCAAAUCCUGAAUGCCUUUAUACUACUGGGCGGGGUGGGGGUGGGGUUGUUGGCAAUAAGAAAAAUUUCUGAGAAACUUGAGCAAAGCUAGAGUUAUGAAAAUGUCCUCUGGGACUAGGAAGUACAAGUCUUGGCAAUUCUAGGGUUAUAUUUUCAAACUUUGAGAAUAUUUGAAAAACCCAUAAAUGCAAUGAAAUUUUUAAAAAAGUAACAUGAGAAUUUGGAAAAGUAGAAAUUACUUGCCAGAAACACAUUAGGCCAAAUCAUUUGAGUGAUCAUACUCUAACAGAAUAGAUCAAUUCUCUGACCAUUAGGUCUUUAGCCAGGGAAUUUUUCUUCUUGAAAUUUAAUGCCUGGAGAGUAUACUUCAUUGAAGAUGCUUAAUAUGCACAGGGAACUGGUCAACCUAGAAUUAAACGCUGAGCCAAACAACUGUAUUUCUUCUUGGGAUAGUUUGAAAAAAAAAAACACUCUGGGAAGAUUGAUGAGCCCUAGAUGCUACUAGGGGAAAAUUUGUCCCAUGUGCUGAUGUAAGAUAUUAUUGUUUGUCACACUCUAGUUGGAUCUAAUAAAGAGGUAAGCUGAAGUCACAAGGGAAAAUUCCCUUUGUGAAGGUUGAUACUAGAGCCUCAAAGUUCUAGUCAAUGGAACCCAAGAUCAAAGCUUUACAGUUAUAAAAAGGAACCCAAGAUCUGAACAGACAGAAUGUAGAAAAUCAAGUGGCCAUUUCAGUUACCUGUAAAUCCAUUACUAUGAUGCUUCAGACAAAGUCACAGCUCCUCCUAGAACUUUCUGGCCAGUUCAUUUGUAUGAUCAGAUCAUUCAUCCAAGUGGCAUACUUUUUGGUAAUCCAUUCGAACCCAAUUCAAAUAGUAAUUUUACUCUUCUUGGAAACAUUGGGUUUAGGAAUAAUUCAGAAGAGCACAAUUCCAGUCCAAUGUUAACUGAACUGGGUUCUGUGAAACUCUAGUUUUUCAAGAUGUUUAACAGUUAUAUCAUGAAAAGAAGUGCCUCAUGCUCAGAUAAGUUGGAGAAACUUCAAGGUGAAGUAAAAAGAAAGGGCAGUGCUGUGGAAAUCUUUGAAUGACCUCUCGCGGAUAGUGUCUGGGCCAGCGCACAUGGGCUGCUGGCCGCCAAACUGCAGGGUUGGGUGCCGCUGCAGGAUCCAUAGGAGACGG